ensembl:lncRNA novel transcript
ACUCUCGGUAAAUGAAUGAGGAGAGCCCCAUGUGGGAUUACAAACUUGCUGGAAAUGGAUGAGAAACCUUCUGCUCUGCUGGAGUUUAUCUUGAGUGUGCCUUAAAAUUCCAUUUCAUGGAGAACUGUGCGUGGUUGAAUUUUGAUUGAUUACUCAAUUAACUGAUGUAUUGGUAGAGUGAUUAAGAAAGAAGACUUUGGGAUCAGACCAACCUGGUUUUGAAUUCAAGCUCAGCAACUUACUAGGUAAGGAGGAGAAAAGAAAGAAGGAAAAAUUGGAAAGAUAAAUGGGGUCUUUCCAGUGAAGCCUCCAGGCCUCCAGACUGGAACUUAUACCACUGAUUCUUCUGAAUCUUAGGCCUUUGGACUUGGACUGGAACUAAACCAUCAGCUCUUCUUGUUCUACCACUUGCAGACUGUAUGUCUUGGGACAUGUCAGCCUCUGUAAUCACGUGAGCCAAUUCCUUUUAAUAAAUAUCUUUAUAUAUGCA